rnacentral:lncRNA from 1 species
CCCGCCCGCCCACCGCCGGCGCGCCCACCCCCGCUCCCCGGCGGGCUCCGCUGGCAAUAAUUACCUGCGAGCCGGGACUGCCUCCGCCCUGGCACUGGGGGCGGGGGCAGGGGCGCCGAGGGCGAGGGGUGCCCGGGAGGGGCGCGGCAGCGGGCAAGGUGCGGCAGGCGUCGCCCGCGGACGUCGGAGAAAGGCACCUGUUUCUCCCAGCUCCCGGGAGCCGUGCAGGACGUUUCGUGGACGCUCAGGUUCAUUCUCUUUGCCUGCCGCGCGUCCUCUGAGAGCAGCCCUGGAGCGGCUUCGUCGGGGAGAAAAGGCGCCGACCAACUUUCCCCGACUUGGGGGCGGGAUCCUGCCGGGCCCUAGCGGAGCGCGCCGCUGGGGAAGCACCUGCUCUCACUUUUCUCCCACUCGGAGGCCCAAAGAAGCUCCGGCUGGACAUUGCUGGAGCCAAUUAGGGACUGGCCGAAAUCCUAGAGGGACUGCCAGGUGGGACAGCCGAGGGGGAACUUCGCCGUGCGCUGAAAGGGAUUCCCCCUUAGGACGAUGGGAGCCUUUUAACACCAAUGGAGCAGGAGAUGCACUGAUUCACAUGCACCCAAAUACAACACCAACCCCACAAGCUCUCAGCUCACCAGUCACAGACAUCACCUUCUACGGACAUAUUUUUAUUUCACUGAGCUACAACUACGGGCAAGGCAACGACGAGCUGUGUGGAGACUUCAAAACAUAGAGGACAACCUCUGCCCUCAAAGACAACAUCCAACUGAAGAAAGGAUCAAGAAAGAUGAAAAUAAAUAAGUUGUUUGAUUAUGCUGUGUUAAUAAAUGACCCAUAGAAUAAUUGUCAGAGAAAUUCAGAAGAAGAAGAAAUUACCCUAUUUUGAGUUGUUUGGAAAAGUUUAACAGAGAAAAAUAUGACAAUAUCUGGGGUUUAAAGAGUAAAACUCGCACAAAGACCUGGAGGGAAGGAAUCAAGAGAUGCCAACACUGAAGAAAAAAACAUGUUCAUAGUGUAUUCGUGGUGAAAAGAAAGGGUUUUUGUGCGCAAGGAAGUAAUGGACCAAAAUGCAGUAGUCCCAGUGCCUAGAAUCAUGCUGAGCACAAAACAAGUAUUUGUUUAAUGAGCAAAUGAAAGUAGAGUUUCAUUUGUCCAGUUAACAAAAUACACAAGUAUUCCCUGCCCUCCUCUUUUUAAAAUUAAUUAAUUAAUUAAUUUUUAACAGACAAAAAAUUAUAUAUAUUUUCAUGUACAGCAUGUUAUUUUAAAAUAUAUACACAUUUGUAGAGUGGCUAAAUUGAGCUAAUAAACGUAUGUAUUACCUCACAUACUUAUUUUUUUUGUGGUAAGAAGACUUAAAAUCUGGCCGGGCGUGGUGGCUCACACCUGUAAUCCCAGCACUUUGAGAGGCCGAGGCAGGUGGACCACCUAAGGUCAGGAGUUCGAGACCAGCCUGGCCAACAUGGUGAAACUCCUGUCUCUACUAAAAAUACAAAAAUUCACCAACAUGGUGGCAGGCACCUGUAAUCCCAGCUACUCAGGAGGCUGAGGCAGGAGAAUCACUUGAACCCGGGAGGCGGAGGUUGCAGUGAGCUGAGAUCACACCACUGUACUCCAGCUUUGG